GUGACUUUCUCGAGCCAGUGAGGGGUAUCUGUCUGACUUCUCGGCGAUUUUUACGAUCUAACUUCGAGAUAAAACCCCUAUCCAUUUGACAUCUAAAUGUCAUAGCGACUUUUGGGAUAGUUUGCUCUCGGUCCUGUAAGAAGUUGGGCCCAGCUGGAAGGGAUUGACCGGGUUGCCUGUCUGGAGAUGGAGCCACUAUGGGCAGGACCAGGGCGCCUGGAGUCGAGCAUGAAAGGAAAUAGCGCCUCAUCGCUCUUAUCUAAGCCCAGAGUCUGCAGUCCCGUGGGUAAGCACGCACAUUCCAGCUCCCAGAGAAAUGUUGCCUAAGUCAUGUGCAGCUCAGGAGUGAAAAUCUCCAGAAGGUGAUGGUUUUAGGAAUGGCAUUUGCCUGUACGAGGAGGAGGUGAGACAUUAGCUAGGCUUCCUAUGUCCUCGAAGAUACAAAGCUCUUCCCUCCCAGCUCCUUGGAUAGUAGGAACCUUCUCCUAUCCCACCCCCAACUGCACCUGGGGUGGGGCGGAUGAAAACCUCUCAAACCCAAUUCUCCUCCUGGAUUCUGGUUGUCUGAAAUGUUCCCCAGUGGGGCAAUGUAGUGGCUCCCACAGACUGGAAAGAGGCUCUUUGCUUGGACACCCUGCCCUAAAAUCGACUAGUCCAAAUCGAGGUACAAAGACCUCAUUUCCAUUAUGCAAAUGAGCGGCAUCCUCUCUGAUCUUCUAGGAGUAGUGGGAGGGCCUUCACUCCUCCGGGUUCACCCUUACCCUAAGAGCCCCCGAAGUGUUUCAAGCCUCUGUAGUAGCUUGAUUUCCCUUGCCUACAUUUCCUUCUGAUUGCUCAAAGGAAAAAAAUUUAGGAGGGCCUCAGACCUGCCUGCCAGAUCCCUCGGGGCCUCCCGCAGAGCGACUCACUAAGCCUGAAGCUGCCAGAAAGUCACUCUCUCGAAGCAGAAGGGGGAAAAGCUUAAAGAUCUGCUUCAGAGAGAGGCUCAGACUCUAGAGUUGUCUAGGGCGGGGGUGGAGGGGGAGGUGCCCCCAGCACUACACGGCCUCUAGACCCACAGCUCCCAGCCAGACCUUAGUACCACUUUGGCCAGCCUGGCACGGCAGGCAAUUUCCUGGAGCCCCCGCCCAGGAACGGGGGCCACCGCACCUUGAAAGGGGCAGCCUGCGCUUCCUCUUGCAGCUUGAAAGCCCGAGCUAAUCAGUAACCGGUGAGACCAGGGCCAAGACUCCAAUGCCGAGGCGGAGGAGGCGCGCACCCUGCCCUCGCCACCCCCUUCUGGGAAAGCGGUUCCGUUAACCGGGUGUGAGGGGUCCCCACAGGAUCGGAAAUUACAGAGGUUUUGGUUCUUUGAUGCUUUCUCUUCACUCCCGAUUUUCCACCAAAGCAUUUUUUUUUUUUUUUGCGUCGAUUUCGCUUGAAACGAUCGAGAAUGGGGGAGGGGACCAACACUCACUUGCAGACACCAACCGUUUCCAGAAAACUCAGUUCAACUCCUUCACCACGGGCUCACCAGCUUAGGAAUUGGCAAGACCCACAAACCAACUGGAAGAACACAGACUGGAUUUGUCUUUUCACAACCGAGUGGAACCUGCCUGCUCGGCGCCUCCCAUGACUGGCCCCCCCUCCUUUGGCUGAGAAGAAAACUAAAUAAACCUUGAACAGAUUUUGGCCUCACAUCUCUCCAGUGGCCCAAUCCUGUCUCGUGUCUUAGGUGGUGGUGGGGGUCGUGGGUCUGAACCCUUAACCCUUUGGUUCAGUACCCCCUGUCCGUGGGUUAUAGUAUUACUCCUCUCUCGACAUCUGCCUCUUCCUCUGCCAGCCUCCAGGUUUGUGGCUGGGAUCUCUGCAGGAGAUGGGAGAAGGUUGAGGAGAACGUGACAAGAGACUCGUUCCGUUUUCUAAUCUCCACCCGGGGACUUGAGAUGCCGUAGAGAGCAUCAGCAUGGGCCGGAAUCCCACCGAACCGAACCGCGGGGCCCCGGGCUCCAAGCAAACCCGCAGGGGUUGGGGAGUGUCGAGUGGCUAGCUGUGCCGAAGCCGCCUGUCCCCGAACGGACGGUAGAUGGCAGCAAACUGCAUAAUUUGGGUCAGAGGAAAUUGUCUAAGGGACGAUUUAUAAUCCACCAAGACUAGAGGGGGAAAAGACCUUUACUUUGACUGGGUUUGGGGGGAUUUUUCCCGUCGCGAAUAGGGUCCGAGCGUCCUAGGUGCUAGCGACGAAUUCCUCUUGCUAAGAAGCCGAUGUGUUUCAGUGAGCCCAAGUCCAGGCCUGUGUCUAGAGCUGUUUAUCUGGCCCCCCAGGGAGCCCCAGUCCUGUGCCACAAGUGGCUGAGUUUCCUUUUCCUAAUGGCUCUGGAGACCAAACCAGCCACACAUUUGCCCCAGGAUCCUAAAAUCCUAGACAACCAGAAGCCUGAGCCUGAACGACCUGCAGGCUUUUAAGAAACAGAAAGGCAGUCGAUCUCUGUUCAUGCAAACCAAACUAAAUCACAAUGUCUCCUGCCCUUCGUGCCCAAAGUGACGCAUCUCUCUGAGUAUAGCUUCCCUCGAGAUCCUUCACCCCAUUUCUUAGCCCUCACCAGCUGGCCUGAACCCUAAGAGCUUCUUCAAGAAUCUGUCUCAUAUUCAGCAGCUCUUCCCCCUCCCCCACCCCCAGGAAGCUAGGGAACAAAAUUGGGCGGUGCGAGACGAG